rnacentral:rRNA from 1 species
GAUGAACGCUGGCGGCGUGCCUAAUACAUGCAAGUCGAGCGAACGGACGAGAAGCUUGCUUCUCUGAUGUUAGCGGCGGACGGGUGAGUAACACGUGGAUAACCUACCUAUAAGACUGGGAUAACUUCGGGAAACCGGAGCUAAUACCGGAUAAUAUUUUGAACCGCAUGGUUCAAAAGUGAAAGACGGUCUUGCUGUCACUUAUAGAUGGAUCCGCGCUGCAUUAGCUAGUUGGUAAGGUAACGGCUUACCAAGGCAACGAUGCAUAGCCGACCUGAGAGGGUGAUCGGCCACACUGGAACUGAGACACGGUCCAGACUCCUACGGGAGGCAGCAGUAGGGAAUCUUCCGCAAUGGGCGAAAGCCUGACGGAGCAACGCCGCGUGAGUGGUGAAGGUCUUCGGAUCGUAAAACUCUGUUAUUGGGGAAGAACAUAUGUGUAAGUAACUGUGCACAUCUUGACGGUACCUAAUCAGAAAGCCACGGCUAACUACGUG